rnacentral:rRNA from 1 species
CCUACGGGAGGCAGCAGUGAGGAAUAUUGGUCAAUGGACGAGAGUCUGAACCAGCCAAGUAGCGUGAAGGAUGACUGCCCUAUGGGUUGUAAACUUCUUUUAUAUGGGAAUAAAACGUUCCACGUGUGGGAUUUUGUAUGUACCAUAUGAAUAAGGAUCGGCUAACUCCGUGCCAGCAGCCGCGGUAAUACGGAGGAUUCGAGCGUUAUCCGGAUUUAUUGGGUUUAAAGGGAGCGUAGGUGGGUUGUUAAGUCAGUUGUGAAAGUUUGCGGCUCAACCGUGAAAUUGCAGUUGAUACUGUUAGGCUUGAGAGCAGUAGAGGUAGGCGGAAUGCGUGGUGUAGCGGUGAAAUGCUUAGAUAUCACGAAGAACUCCGAUUGCGAAGGCAGUUCACUGGACUGCUACUGACGCUGAGGCACGAAAGUGUGGGUAGCAAACAGGAUUAGAUACCCUUGUAGUC